GCCCAUCGUUUUCCGAUGGAAGAGGUAGGGCGUUCAGCCUUGCUGGAGAACAUGCGAGGCGAAAUAACGCAGAAUAAAGAAAACGAAUCUUAGCCACCGUCCUAUCACACAGCGGUGGCCAUUCAUUAUGCUUUGUGAAAUUUCUUCCUUAAGAGGGUUUUUCAUCCAUAACGGUGCAUUUUCCACAUACUGACAUUCCUACUUGCGUCACGACUUCAACAUCCUUAUUUUAAAACUCGGUUUCACAUUUUUGAAAAACGGUUUUUGUGAUUUUCGUCGUUUUGAUUGAAAUAAUGCAAACGUUUUCUGGAAUGUUCUGUGUUCCUGUAAAACUCCAGUGCACAAUUCAUUAACUCGUGAUCCAAAGACAGCUGUCACCGUGUUCUCUUAUGAGGGCAGGAGCUGUGGUCUGUGUGUGUGUGUUUCAGUCUUUUGUCCUCAGUACCUGCAAGGACACUUAGAAUUUACUGGGUGCCUAAUAAACAUUGUGAAAUAAAGUAUUUAUAUUUCCCGUCAUUUUUCUUUAUACGUGUAGAAACAAUCUUUUCAUAGCACUGAGAGAUAAAAUAUAGUGAAGAAAACUAUCCACAGUUCCAUCAACAUGCCAUCAUCACUAAUCAUAUUUUUUUAUUUCCUUAGCGGUUUUCCAUCUAUAAAGGUACAUUUUAAACAUACUGAGAUUGAUGUUUGCAUCAUUUCUUUCGAAAAUUUUUAAACUAUUCUAUUUAGCAUUAAGGUGUCCC
rnacentral:lncRNA from 1 species